CCCUAAAUACAGAAUACUCAUUUACAUUUGAAUUUAGAAAGGAAAACUUAUAAUUGUUCAUCGAGGUCCAGAAAGCUCCAUUGCUUCAAUGAUGAAUGAAGAUUCUUCAUGGAAAUCACUGCUAUGCCUUGAGAAACUGCAAACCCCUGCCUCAUACAUAUUGGAUCUACCUUGAGAUUCUUCUGUUCCUGACUGCCCAACAAGACCUUCCAAGACUUUCAAGAC
rnacentral:misc_RNA from 1 species